rnacentral:tRNA from 1 species
CGGCUGUAGCCUCAAUAUGGUAGAGGCGCUGACUUUAGUCAGAAGUCCCGGUUCGAUUCCGGGCUGUCGAA